GUGGUUGGUUAAGCGAGAAUCAAGUCGCUUAGUUUUUGGUCGCGCACAAGGAAAGUCAUAUAGCCAACUGUUGAAUUUGAUCAUGGUGGAUGUCUAUCAAGGAAGAUGAAAUGCCAGAAAGCCCCUAGGGGCAAGAGGCAUUUGAGACUUCUGUCUCCCCUUCCAGUCAUCAAGGAAGAACUCGAACAAGAGCUCAAGGGCAUUCUUCUUUUUGUUGGUUUAUAGUCCACACGGGGGGUUCUGGUCUUGUUACUUUAUG
rnacentral:lncRNA from 1 species